rnacentral:sRNA from 1 species
AAAAAGAGAAAGAAAAAAAAAAUGAAAAA